GAUGGCGGACUGGCAGACGGUUCAAAACGAAGCGGAGAUUUAUAAAGUGAUUUCCUCGGUUUAUUCAUGGUGAAGGAGGCUGUUACUGUCUGCCUGGCACUUGGCACUCUUCACCGUUCUGCUUUCCGCCUGGAGUGCCACGGGGCCAACAGUGAGUGCCGGGCAGCUGACGGUGGACCUGGUAAUUACCUGUGAGAAGGUGGGCACCACCCAGCCCCUCUGACCACAGCAGCAAAGACCAGUGCCAUGUCUUGCCUGCCCAGUCCCUUGCUGUCAUGCAGACCCCCUCAUAGAAAGUGAGCGACAUAACCUCCUGACUGAGCUGGUCCAGGAGGUGGUGGUCCUGCAAUGCCUAUGAGCAAUGGGACAACAACCAAAUCCCUGGCCACAGCUGCGCUACCUCACCUCCCACACAACAGAGGAGGACGUGCUAGUCUCACUUGGGGCCCUGGAGCUGGAGAACACAAAGGAAGAACAAACAACAGCAGACCUGAUGGUUCUUACGAGGCUGUUUGUGACAAGCUACACUAACUAUCUAAUCAAAGGUGGAAGAUGAAGGACAGCAAGAUGAAGAAGCGUCUCUCAGCCCUUCCUUUCGGGUGCCGGCUUUGUCAAACUCUUCAUGGAAAUUUGCACUGACCUCAUCAUGGCAGAGACUGGGCAUGCAACUCUUUGCUGCACAAGGCGACCCAUUGUAGUAGCAGUGUUGUGUUCCCCCAGUGACCUGCCGACCACUGUGCUGCUCAUCAAGCUUGUGGAGGAGGGAGACAGUGCGAUGGGCACAGUCAUGCUGCUCAACUUUCUCAAUGCUUGGAAGGUCCAGGUGAGGAGGAGCAAGCUGCAACAUGGACGAUGCCUUUUCUUGGAAAAAUAUGUUUUGGAGCCCAACACCACAGAGGUUGCCAGGAGUGAAAUUUUUAUAUUCAAAACUUGCCUCAGAACUAGCAGUGGUGCCAGAAUGCUAGGGGUACAUCAGCUGCAUCCCACACUCCCAGGCUGUACUUGGGACACGCUACAUGGGAGUACUUGCAUGGGAGGGCCUGAUACAAAAUGUAUUGUGAACAGGUGUAUUAUUUUUCAUGAGUUUUGGAGAUUUUGGGGGCUAUCCAAUCUAAUACUUACUUAUCAAUCUUUACAUAUAUUUGUUUCUCCAGAAACAGGAUUAAGUUUGCCAUUGCCCAUGCUGCUUUUAGUUUGAAUAAAAUACAAUUAGAAGUAUUUUUUUCAUUUUUUAAAAGUUGGGGUCCGCAAGGACCCCCACAUGUGUUGGUGUAUAAUUUAAUAGGUUAUGUGUUUAAGGGUUAAAUAUAUUCAAGGGAUUUUUGCCACGUAC